rnacentral:tRNA from 1 species
GGGCCCUUGGCGAAGUUGGCUAUCGCGCUUCCAUGGCAUGGAAGAGAUCAUGGGUUCGAAUCCCAUAGGGUCCACCA